GGUUUCCUCUUUGCAGAGAAAAGGAUGAGAGAACAUCCAACUGUUUUGAGAAGGAUGAAGAAUUACUGAGAAGAGUGUCCAUAAAUAUAAAAAGAUAAGGACAAAAAAGAGCUCAGCAGUCUAUGACCACAAAUGAUCUGAGGAGCUAUAAAAGAGACAUCAUACCAGACUCUACUCCAGAAUGGAAAUGUCCAAUGCCUAAUCAGAAGCCAGGGAGUAGGGUGAAUGCGAUAGAUAAGAGAUCAUCAUCCCAACCUGCAGCCCUCAUUACUGCUCGUUCUAUGGAGUAGUCAUUUUUUGUUUUUGUUGUUUCUUUACUUCUCUAAGAAACUUGCUUUUGCUUAAAAAAAAAUAAAAAUAAAGGAGAUAAGAGAACAUCCAAUAAAAGAAGGCAAAUGUUGUGUGCAUAGAGAUUACUAGGUUAAGGAAAGCAGGCCAACUAGCAUUAAACCAACCCAUACCUUUGUUCAACACUUAGAAUGAAAUCUAAAUUUAUUUCUCUGGCGUUGAAUAAGCCUAUGACAUCAACCUGAACUACUCUUCUGCUCACAGCAUUCCAGACACAUUGACUAUUUCAUGCAUCUUUGUCCUUAUUGCUAUACCUGGAAUUCUA
rnacentral:lncRNA from 10 species